GUUGGGCUCAUUAAUUGCUCUAGUGUUGCUGCAAGUCUUUCUGUUACACAGAUUAAUGUGUUUUCUGCCACCAUGUCACUCAUGCUGGUGAAUUUAUUUUAUACUGUCAGGAUACUUUUAGUUUAAACCAAGCAACCAAAUGUAUAACUUUAAAACACUGGGGAGCAACUCCAAAAUGAAGAUUUUUCAUGUCAUUUUACAAUCACAUUUUAAAAUCUAGCUGCCAUUAGUAAUGAUUAGAACUUUAAUGAUGUCAAUCCACAUAUAGUUAGCAGUCUUUAUUGUAACAAAAGGGAGCUUGUAUUUGGUUAGGAUGACUGUGUAUGUAUUUACUCUCUUCUGUGCCUUUUUCUGCUAUUACCUGAAAAUUCCUUAUACUCAACAGCUGAUUCUUUUCAAAAGAUUAUUAGUGUACUUUUGUGUUUCCUGUAUUUUGUAUUGAAUAUAGUUUUUCUUUAAACUCCAUUUUUCUUUCUUAUAAUAUGUAAAAGUUUUCCCUUGCAACAACAAACUUAUCAAAGAUGAACUGUCUCCAUACAUCUGCUGACAGCAACAGUUGAGUGCCUUCAGUGCAUUACCAAAAGAGGCACCCCUUCUCUUUACUGAGAAGUAAGGAGCACAGAAAGUAGAAAAGUUAAGGAAGGCAAACACAAAUUAUUCAGAGGAGAAAACAAGGAAAUCGUGAAAGAGGAACAGUGUGAACAAGUUUGCUCAGAUGACACAGAUAAGCCAAAAGCAAAGGCCAAAGAAGUAAGACACACAGCAAGCAACACUGGAACAUAAAGGGGCAAAGAAGUAGGGCAACUCAGUAUUCAAUCAGCUAGAGUUUUUAUUGCUAAACAAUUGUUAUACAUAAUUCUCCUGUCUCCCUAUUUUUUCAAAAUAUAAAUAAUUAUUCAAAAUGAUCAAUUUUUCUAAUUUAAAUGUAGAACAAGCUGUAUUGCGUUAAUAUUUAAUUACUUUCUUAAAUGUAAACAGUACACGAUAGGCAAAGCAUUCUAUUUGGUACAACUUCCAUAACCUAAGUUUGCAAAUUCUGUUUGCAUUUGAUAAAACCUAUGGGCAGCAAAUCUGAUCAUGUGGCAUUUUGGGGUUUUAUUUGUUUUGGGGGGUUUUUUUUGUUGUUUUUUUGGUACUAGGGAUCGAACUUGGGUCCUUUCGCUUUCAAGGUAGGCGGUGGAACCACUGAGCUAAAUCCCUGGCCCCAUUUUGGGGUUUUAUAUGAAGUAGUUAAAACACCAUAAUCCAUUUAACACAAAAUAAUUAAUGUACACAACAAUUUUAUAGUAAAUCACUUAUGAACUUUAAUAAACCAAAAUUCUUUUCAUUUUCAACCUGAAGAACCACUUCUUUCUCCCUAUACCUUUUCUUUCAGAAAACUUCACAAAUAAUAAGAAGGUGUGAAUGGGCUUCAGAGUGAGAGGCAACAGUAACUUUGCUGCUUGAGGACCCUCUCACCUCUGGAAAGUGUUGAGCUCUGAACGGUGUCAUGUGUCUCAGUAGCUUAGUCCUCCCUCAAAUAUUCAGAGUUUUUAAGGUGGUGGAGAUGGAAUCCAGGGCCUCACACAUGCUGGCCUGAAACAAAGGAUUCCCCUGCCUUACCCUGCAGAGUCCAGUGGGAUUCCUGGCCUGCACCACUGUGCCUGGCUCACAUAUUCAAACUGCUGAUUGCAGGUAUCAUGCUGAUUCUUGAAACCAUUGUAAACCCUGCCCUAACCGUGCCUAAAUGUAUGGACCUGACUUGGAGUUUAGAAAUACCACAAACAGCUAGCUCCAAGUCAUUAUUGCAUUCAUAAAGACCAGCACUAGGAUUCUUACCUCAGUGCACUGGCUCUUAACCACCACGCCCGCCGUGUGUCUGCCUCUUCACUGGUGUUUAGGAGCUCAGAGGUGCAGAUCGAGUCACUCAGCUUUCCUAAGCCUCAGCUUCCAAUUUUUAUCAGUGAGCAUAGUGCCGUGGGAAUUAAAGGACAUAGCUAGCUUCUUAGGUCAUCUGUAAUCAUGCCUAGGUCAGGGAUGCUACGGGACACCAGGUACUGUAAAACAUACCGCCUUGCAAGGCAAAAGGCUUCUCUGAUCUGUAGAUGAGUUGAAACCCACUUAGAGCAGGUCAUUGUAGAUAAGGCUGAAUAAUACUUGACCUGUGAGGACAGCUGAUUGGUAAGUAGCAUACAUUAGUGGGUCUUCUGAUGCCCAUAUGUUCUAAGGUGGUAACACCAGUUUCCCUAUUUUACAAUUUGUCUACUUGUGUAUGCUUUGAAAAGCCCAUGAUACAUUAAUACACCAGUGAUCAGCAAAAGACAAGCACCAGGCCCUUUGCUUCCAAGGAACCCGGAGCCUGGACUGGAACCCAGAGACCUGGGCAGAGUUUGAAUUGACAGCCCGGACUCCUGAUGAGCAGUAAUCCCCCUGCUUCUGUUUCCCCGUGGCCUCCAUGCCGUGCUUUGGAAGGAGGAGAAGUCAAGCCAGAGAGACGCGACAGUGGAGAGCAAACCCUGGUGCAUUCAUGUCUCUGCCUGGCCCCUCUUCCUGUCAUUUACUUGUCUCUCAAGGCGUUUUUGUCUGUCUCCCUGCUAGAAUCUAAGUUCCAGGAGGCCAGGGAUGUUUGAUUGUCCUGUGCCUCGCUGUGUUCCCAAACCCCGGGCAGUGACUGGCACACACCUAUCGCUCAACAAAUGCUCAAAGGGGAAAAAAUGUGGGGAUAAUUGAUUUAGAAAAACGUGGGUAAUAAAGAAAAUGUUGUUGGAGAACAAGCCAUUUCAAGUCUUGAUUUACACAGGUAAAUUUAACUGGAAAAAGUUACUAAAAUAUUUCAUAGGGUUUUUCCCCAAAUUAUUAUUUUUUAUUGAUAUAUAUAGUCCAUCUACCAUUAAAAUUAACCCAUUUAAAGCAUAUGUUCCUAUGGUUUUUGGUAUUAUAGAAAGAUUUUCACUAUCUUUUUCAAAGUAUCAACUAUUACAUAUAUAAACUCAGUAUCUGAUGAGACAUGAGAACUGGCCACACAGACAUGUGAAAAAUAUCAGUUCCACCAAACGUCAUUAUUAGACAGUCUUUAGUGACUCUGACACUGAAGUCGUGAAUUGCUAAUAACUAGGGUUUUUCCGUAUGGAAAUCCACAUAAUCCUCUUUAAGUAAUUAAUCACUGUCAAUGCUUAUACUUAAACUUGUAUGAAAAAAUGAUACUCAGAUUGGUUCUGUAUGAUAAAUGCAUAUGAAAACAAUAAAAUUCUAAUUCCG
ensembl:lncRNA